rnacentral:rRNA from 1 species
GAUGAACGCUGGCGGCGUGCCUAAUACAUGCAAGUCGAGCGAACAGACGAGGAGCUUGCUCCUCUGACGUUAGCGGCGGACGGGUGAGUAACACGUGGAUAACCUACCUAUAAGAGUGGGAUAACUUCGGGAAACCGGAGCUAAUACCGGAUAAUAUAUUGAACCACAUGGUUCAAUAGUGAAAGACGGUUUUGCUGUAAUUUAUAGAUGGAUCUCGGCGGCAUUAGCUGGUUGGUAAGGUAAUGGCUUUCCAAGGGAAGUAUGCGUAGCCGACCUGAGGGGGGGAUCGGCCACACUGGAACUGGAACACGGUCCAGACGCCUGCGGGAGGCAGCAGUAGGGAAUCUUCCGCAAUGGGCGAAAGCUUGACGGAGCAACGCGGCGUGAGUGAUGAAGGUCUUGGGUUCGUAAAACUCUGUUAUUGGGGAAAAACAGAUUUGUAAGGAACUGUGCACGUCGUGACGGUACCUAAUCAGAAAGCCACGGCUAACUACGUG